UCGAGCGGUAGCACAGAGAGCUUGCUCUCGGGUGACGAGCGGCGGACGGGUGAGUAAUGUCUGGGAAACUGCCUGAUGGAGGGGGAUAACUACUGGAAACGGUAGCUAAUACCGCAUAACGUCGCAAGACCAAAGUGGGGGACCUUCGGGCCUCAUGCCAUCAGAUGUGCCCAGAUGGGAUUAGCUAGUAGGUGGGGUAACGGCUCACCUAGGCGACGAUCCCUAGCUGGUCUGAGAGGAUGACCAGCCACACUGGAACUGAGACACGGUCCAGACUCCUACGGGAGGCAGCAGUGGGGAAUAUUGCACAAUGGGCGCAAGCCUGAUGCAGCCAUGCCGCGUGUGUGAAGAAGGCCUUCGGGUUGUAAAGCACUUUCAGCGGGGAGGAAGGCGUUAAGGUUAAUAACCUUGUCGAUUGACGUUACCCGCAGAAGAAGCACCGGCUAACUCCGUGCCAGCAGCCGCGGUAAUACGGAGGGUGCAAGCGUUAAUCGGAAUUACUGGGCGUAAAGCGCACGCAGGCGGUCUGUCAAGUCGGAUGUGAAAUCCCCGGGCUCAACCUGGGAACUGCAUUCGAAACUGGCAGGCUAGAGUCUUGUAGAGGGGGGUAGAAUUCCAGGUGUAGCGGUGAAAUGCGUAGAGAUCUGGAGGAAUACCGGUGGCGAAGGCGGCCCCCUGGACAAAGACUGACGCUCAGGUGCGAAAGCGUGGGGAGCAAACAGGAUUAGAUACCCUGGUAGUCCACGCCGUAAACGAUGUCGAUUUGGAGGUUGUGCCCUUGAGGCGUGGCUUCCGGAGCUAACGCGUUAAAUCGACCGCCUGGGGAGUACGGCCGCAAGGUUAAAACUCAAAUGAAUUGACGGGGGCCCGCACAAGCGGUGGAGCAUGUGGUUUAAUUCGAUGCAACGCGAAGAACCUUACCUGGUCUUGACAUCCACAGAACUUUCCAGAGAUGGAUUGGUGCCUUCGGGAACUGUGAGACAGGUGCUGCAUGGCUGUCGUCAGCUCGUGUUGUGAAAUGUUGGGUUAAGUCCCGCAACGAGCGCAACCCUUAUCCUUUGUUGCCAGCGGUUCGGCCGGGAACUCAAAGGAGACUGCCAGUGAUAAACUGGAGGAAGGUGGGGAUGACGUCAAGUCAUCAUGGCCCUUACGACCAGGGCUACACACGUGCUACAAUGGCAUAUACAAAGAGAAGCGACCUCGCGAGAGCAAGCGGACCUCAUAAAGUAUGUCGUAGUCCGGAUUGGAGUCUGCAACUCGACUCCAUGAAGUCGGAAUCGCUAGUAAUCGUAGAUCAGAAUGCUACGGUGAAUACGUUCCCGGGCCUUGUACACACCGCCCGUCACACCAUGGGAGUGGGUUGCAAAAGAAGUAGGUA
rnacentral:rRNA from 1 species